UUCAGAGAGCAUGAGAAAGAAAAAAAAGCAGCAGGAGGUUGAGGUAGUAGCAGCCAGGUUGAAGAGAGAAGUAGCAGCAGGGGGGUUGAGAAAAGAGAAGUAGUUGGUGAUAGAGUAGUAGCAGCAGCAACAAGAGGAGGAGCAGGACGACAACAGGCGUUGAGAGAGAAGGAGGAAGAGAUUCAGCAGCAGGAGGUUGCGGGCAUCAGCAGCAGCAAGGAGGAGAGAGGCGCGC
rnacentral:rRNA from 1 species